rnacentral:tRNA from 1 species
GCGGGUGUAGCUUAGCCUGGUUAAAGCGUCUGCCUGUCACGCAGAAGAUCGCCGGUCCAAAUCCGGUCGCCCGCGCAA